AAAUAUACAUGUGUGUCAAUAUCUUAACAUGUCAAGGACUUGUGAUUAUGCCAGUGUGAGCAAUUUAUAUGCAUGCUGUUACAAGGGAAUCACUUUAAAAGACUGAUAUAUAUUAAUUUAAGGUCGCCAAGGAAUCAGCUAUGUAAUUCCUAAAUGAAAAACUCAAGUCAGCCGUCAGCCUUUUUGGAGUUUAAUUACAAUAGGAGCAAGAAAGGAAUUAGAGAUAUAUAGAGAGAGAGAAAGGGGAGAGAAGGGAAUAGGGCUUAAAUACCCCCUCUGUUUAGGCUGGGCCAAAAGGCCCAAGCCCUUAGAUAGCUGGGGCAAAGAAAAGAGAUCAGUCCCUUUCACUCACGUGUCCAAAAUGGAGAAACAGUCUCAGAGGCCCCCACCUUCAGCUUCCUCAGAGCAAGCUUUCUCAGAGCCCAGGAACCACACCGACCCAAAAACUCAACAACCACCUCCCGAGUCCCCAGGAACCACACCGACCCAAAAACUCAACAACCACCUCCCGAGUCUCCAGACCCUCCUAUCUUUAAGGAAACCAUCCAAGUUGCCUCCCCUCAGUCCUCACAUCUACCAAUCACUCUUCAUCAAUUUCCCUGUCAAUGGAGGCUCUCGCUUAACCCAGGACCGCCCAGAGGUUUCUGGCUUUUUGCACAUGUCUGUUGAAGGUCAUAUUUUCAAAUGAUUAAAUCUAUACUCCUUUGUUACAGCCCUUUCUAAAUCCUGUUAACUUGAGUAUGGUAGAGAUUGGAAUAAUUAAAUUUUGAUCUAGGCUGCAGUCCUUACUUGAUCCUAUUAGGACUGAAUAGAAUGGAGAUUUAUUCCAAGUAUCUCCAUUGUAUCAAUUCUAAAAUCAAUCAAGACUCAAGGAAAUUCCUGUUCUAUGCUUAAGCAUAGGUCAAAGUCCUUUCCAUUGUUCAGCAAAGGGUUUCUGUCCUAAAGUAAUCUUAAGAAGGGAAGAGAAGGAACCUCCCAUGCCAAUGGAGUUCCCAUUCCAAUAGACUAUCAGUAAGAAAUUUUCCAAGUAUGAAAUAUCCCAAUGGUGAAAUUUCCAACAUUUAUAAGUCUAAGGAAAUUUGAG
rnacentral:lncRNA from 1 species